AUGGCAAAGUUUUGGUGGAGUGGUUCCCUUGAUCGCAGAUCGUUGCAUUGGUUGUCAUGGGACAAACUCGCAUCUCCAAAGGCCUGAGGAGGCAUGGGUUUUCGUGAUCUUGAAUUGUUUAAUUUGGCCCUGCUAGGAAAACACGGAUGGAGGUUCAUUACUAAUCCCAACUCUCUGUAUGCAAGGGUCAUGAAGGGACGCUAUUUUCCUGAUUGUGAGUUUAUGGAAGCUUCUGUUCCACAAUCUGCUUCAGCGAUCUGGCGAGCUAUUGUGGCAGGCAAGGAGGUGCUCACAGCAGGUCUGAUUAAAAGGGUGGGUGAUGGCACUAUCAUCUCUAUUUGGGAUGAUCAUUGGAUCUAG
rnacentral:rRNA from 1 species